AUUGAACGCUGGCGGCAGGCCUAACACAUGCAAGUCGAGCGGAUGAAGGGAGCUUGCUCCUGGAUUCAGCGGCGGACGGGUGGGUAAUGCCUAGGAAUCUGCCUGGUAGUGGGGGAUAACGUCCGGAAACGGGCGCUAAUACCGCAUACGUCCUGAGGGAGAAAGUGGGGGAUCUUCGGACCUCACGCUAUCAGAUGAGCCUAGGUCGGGUUAGCUAGUUGGUGGGGUAAAGGCCUACCAAGGCGACGAUCCGUAACUGGUCUGAGAGGAUGAUCAGUCACACUGGAACUGAGACACGGUCCAGACUCCUACGGGAGGCAGCAGUGGGGAAUAUUGGACAAUGGGCGAAAGCCUGAUCCAGCCAUGCCGCGUGUGUGAAGAAGGUCUUCGGAUUGUAAAGCACUUUAAGUUGGGAGGAAGAGCAGUAAGUUAAUACCUUGCUGUUUUGACGGUACCAACAGAAUAAGCACCGGCUAACUUCGUG
rnacentral:rRNA from 1 species